rnacentral:rRNA from 1 species
ACUCAAAGGAAUUGACGGGGACCCACACAAGCAGUGGAUCAUGUUGUUUAAUUCGACACUAAACGAGAAACCUCACCCAGGCUUGACAUCGAAGGAACCCGGCGGAAACGCUGGGGUGCCCGCAAGGGACCCGAAGACAGGCGCUGCAUGGUUGUCGUCAGCUCGUGCCUUGAGGUGUUCGGUUAAGUCCGUUAACGAGCGCAACCCAUGUCGUUAGUUACUAUGUCUAACGAGACUGCCUGAGUUAAUCAGGAGGAAGGUGUGGAUGACGUCAAAUCAGCAUGGCCCUUAUGCCUGGGGCCACAAACAUGAUACAAUGGUCGGUACAAUGCGCAGCUAUCCCGCGAGGGUGAGCCAAUCGCCAAAGCCGAUCUCAGUCCAGAUCGGAGUCUGCAACUCGACUCCGUGAAGUUGGAAUUGCUAGUAAUCGUGAAUCAUCCAUGUCACGGUGAAUCCGUUCCUGGGUCUUGCACACACCGCCCGU